ensembl:lncRNA
GGAACCCGGGGGAGGAUCGGGGUCGGGAGAUGAGAGGAUUUGGCUCCACGCAAGCAUCCUUGCCUUCCACACACCGUGGACAGGUGGGGAGGAGAGGCAAGGGGCCCCGUGCCGAAAAAGAGCUGCUGGGUUAGCCAUGGGGUUGUCUCUGUCCUCUGGCGUGGCCUAGGCCAGUUCUGGUGGGACAUCACUUCGAUUCCAUCCAUCCGUGGACUUCAAGGGGAUCUUCCCAACCCAGGGAUCGAACCCAAGUCUCCCGCAUUGCAGACGGAUUCUUUACCAACUGAGCCACGAGAGCCACACACGCUUGAGGAGCCAGGGGUGGAGCUGUGUUCUCAGGCAUGCUGACCAGGUCGGAGCCAUUCUGUGCUCGGUAUAGAGGCACCAUGUUAAGAAUGGGAGCACUCAGUGAAAAGGAUGCCAGCUUUGUCCUGGUGGAGCUGAUACCCUGAGGUGGUAGGUGUUUCCAAACAAACUUGGGUCUGCUUGCCCACCUGUAGCAAAAGCAACGCACUAAUAUCGGGCUGUAGUGAAGGAAAGUACAGCGUUUAUUGCUGGUGCCAAGCAAGGAGUCUGGGCAUCUAGUGCUCAGAAACCUGAAUGCGCUGUUUGAAGACAAGGUG